CACGCCGUAAACUAAUGCUCGCUAGGUGUCAGGGACGGUGCGACCGUUUCUGGUGCCGCAGGGAAGCCGUGAAGCGAGCCACCUGGGAAGUACGGUCGCAAGACUGAAACCUAAAGGAAUUGGCGGGGGGAGCACUACAACGGGUGGAGCCUGCGGUUUAAUUGGAUUCAACGCCGGAAAUCUUACCGGGACCGACAGCAACAUGAAGGCCAAGCUGAAGACUUUGCCGGAUUAGCUGAGAGGAGGUGCAUGGCGUAGACGUCU
rnacentral:rRNA from 1 species